GAUUAAGAUUGAGGUGCAGGAAUCAUGAGUAGUUAUGGGGAGCUAGCCAGCCUUGAACCAUAAUAAAAGGGGUUACUGCCGAAAUCUAGUUUGCUUGGCUAAGCUAAUUAGGUUGGGUCUGUACUUAAUAGGUACAGAACUGUCACUAGUCUUUCUAGUGGGGUGCUAUCUUAUCG
rnacentral:ncRNA from 2 species